CCAGUCUCAUCAGAAAACGUUCAGUGGCAACGUUGGUCCACUUGGAACGACGUUACCAUCUCACAAUCUGGCCUCUCAGAGUGUGAGAUGGUAACAUUUUGUCAGCCCAUUGUUUUGCAUUGGCGUGUUCUCACGUCACGUGACUCACAAGCUCCCGUCUGCGGAGAGGAAAACAUGGCGGAUAUUCCUUGUUCUCUCAGAUAAAAAUAUAGUUUUGUAACUUAGUUUGGGCAUAAAAAUACAUUCUGACACCAUUUCUAGCGAGAAAUGUGCUCUUUGCUUCCACAGUCUUCAGCCAGUUCGUGCUUAUGAUAAAUAUUUUAAUAGUUAUCGCGAAUGUUUUUAUCGUUGCUAUGAGGGUUGCUAUGACGCUGCCAUGCCAGCACGGCGCAGCGUGCUGUUAAAAUCACCGUCCCUGCGUGGUGUCCCUCAGUGAUCGUGAAUGUUAUUCACGUUAUAUAAUAUUAAUAUUUGAGGCUAGAUUACACCUCUAAUGCGAAGGAUCCUGCGAGACCGUUCAUCCCGAAGGGGGACCGACUGCGCCACGGACGGACCAGGCGAGCGGAACUGACGUGUGGCUUUUAGUAAACAUCCGGUUCUUUAACUCGGGGCUGCGUAGUAACCACCGAGCGCUGGGAAGACAAACGAUGUCAUCUUCCUUCUGUCAGGACGAUCCAAGUGAAGGUACAGGAGUUUCAUUAACGUCAAUAACUUGGACCGAACACUUUGUUUUGCUUGAUGAAGAGCAGGAAGGGCAGCCUGGAGAGAAAGAGAAGCCGGGUUGAGCCCACUACCAUCAUCCACGUACCACGAGGAAGAUGCGGGAGAGAAAUGAUCCUACCAUUAAAGAGACUGUGAAAAGAGCGUUGCGAACAUCACCAAUCUACAGGAAGACACAGUCCAGUAAUGGGUGUCAGAAGUUCAGUAGUGAAUGACAGGAAGGACUGAUGCAUGUACUGAGACGGGACGUGAGGGCCUACUCUGCGUGCUCAGAGUUCAAGCCCAGCAGGGUGCAGCGGGCCUGACAUAUUCCGGAACAGCAGCACAGUCUUUGGAUGACUCCUCUGAAGAUGAAAACAUGGCGAGGUACUUCUCCACUGAUGAAGAACUGUGAGGGCUGUGAUUAGCUACACUCUCUUGCUACAAGGCUACUCUUGCUACUCCCUGGCAGCCUUAGGAAGGCAUUAGCUUGCUGUUGGGUAGCUUCCCUGGAAGCAUACGUGUGUAUGUAUACAUACACACGUACAAACGCACUAUUGAGACGUUUUGUUUUUUAUCAUAUAUUCUCAGGAAGGACUGAUGCAUGUACUGAGACGGGACGUGAGGGCCUACUCUGCGUGCUCAGAGUUCAAGCCCAGCAGGGUGCAGCGGGCCUGACAUAUUCCGGAACAGCAGCACAGUCUUUGGAUGACUCCUCUGAAGAUGAAAACAUGGCGAGUUCUUCUCAAGAGAAGCAGUACAGGUGUGCCUCAGCUCCACGGUCCCUCCUGCAGCCUCUGCUCCUGAUGCUAACCUCAUGUCUCCAUCACACCAAGCAGCAGACCUGGAGUGACAGACCUUUCUCCAGAGCUGCUCCCUCCCUCUGAAACCCCCCUCUCCAAAACACUAUUUGUGGCGUUUUUAAAGUCUUAUUUGCAUGAGAAUUGUUGAUCAUAACAUUUCCAGCAGAUGCCUUAAUGUAAUGUUUUUGAACAAUAAAUGACAUUUAUCAUAA